AGAAAACAGAGAGAAUUUUGGGAGAAUGAAGCAAAACAUAUCUAAACUGCGCAAACAUGUGUCAAGGUGGAAGUGCCAGAAUCAGAAGGAUUCCAAGCAGAGAGCAUAAUUAAACAAUCGACUGGAUUAUUCUCGAUCUAGUAAAUAACAUCCAACAACUGAUCAAAUCCUUGGUCGGUAGGUCAAUGUGCACAUUACUGUUCCCGUGACAUACGGCAUAUAUAAUGUCAUUAAACAUAUAUUGCUGCAACAAAUAAAAACAGAUCAACUAAAUUAAGGCAAACCAACCUAGCACCAAAUGCCGCCACUGAAAGCCAUAAGCUGGUCCUAAGUCACCUUCCUCUUGAUCUUUCAGCCCAAGUCUAAAAUAGACAGGACAAAUGUCAUCAAGGUAAAGAAACAAAUAACCAUUACCAAUACAUAUUUGGUCCUCAUGAAUCAGAUGCGAAAUGGUCAAGGUAGUCCCUAGAUGCAUUGAUAUCCCGUAUAUGAAUGCCUUUUCCCCGAAGAAUCUGUUGGAAAAUGGGCAUUCUCAAACUAGUCUCAUACCAACAUUAGACAGUCAAAAGAGAGUUUCUUAAAGGCAAAAGGAUAUAACCAGGACACCUUCCAAGGGAUGCGUGUGCAAAUUACAUGUCCCAAUUAGGAGCAAAGGCAAUUAAGCCCAUAUGGGAGUUAUCGCAUCAAUCCACUUUUCAUAUAAGUGUCACUUUAGAUCCCUGAAUUGCAACUUCAGCAACAGUUUGUAUUCGCUUCAAGCAUUACAAUUUCCCAAACUCGACUUCAUGGAGUCAACACUCCUUUAAAACAUACAUCCAGGGCCUAUUCAUCAAUUAAAGGAAGAAUAAUCUUACAUGCUUGGUUGAACCAUCAUUGCCUCUCAAAAUAGAUAUUUCAUAUUUUCAAGUUAAACUUCCUUCUUAGGUGAUAUUUUUUAGCGAAUUAUAAACAUGAGUGCAGUUCGAUCUUGCAGGUCCAAAUGAUACAUUUAACGUUCCUCAACCAAUGAUUCUUACUUGUCACUAUCGGACAAAACAUAAAGUCUAUGUAUGUCCUGGCAAAUAUGUCAAUCGGUUUUUAUAGUCAGGUAGGUUAAGAUUUCCACAGGUUGUCUUCAUGAUCUAAUUAUGGCAGCCUCCAGGGAAGUUUUCCAUCCUUGCCUAUACAAUCAAGUUGCAGCAACAAGUAGGAAAGUCCUUUGGCGAUCAGAUGGAGUCCCAUUACCUUUGCCGUUUAGUGAGGGUCACUGAGACUUCACCGGCCAUUACAGAACUCAAAGGCCGAAAACAACCAAAAGAUAGCAGCUCGAAAUGAAGGCUGCACAACCNNNNNNNNNNNNNNNNNNNNNNNNNNNNNNNNNNNNNNNNNNNNNNNNNNNNNNNNNNNNNNNNNNNNNNNNNNNNNNNNNNNNNNNNNNNNNNNNNNNNAGCAGCUCGGAAUGAAGGCUGCACAACCCACCUCUUUGGAAAGUGUGGCAGAACUGAAAAUUGUUCAGAAAGAGAUAGAUGCCAUUAGAUUAAAAUUGCACACAUAUACGAAACCCAGCAGAGGAGUUAUCUUUAAAAUCUAAAAAGAACAGUGGAAAGCUGAAAAAUGGUAUGGUAUAGUGGCAACAAUGGGAUCCUGAAAUCCGUGACAGCAGCAGCUGAAAAUUAUGCCCACAGAUCAUCAUCUCAGAAAAAAGUGGUCUGCGUCUAUGAAUAAAACGAAUCAACCAGGCUGUACAUAUCAUCAAACAAAGAAAGCCUCCUUACUAAGCUGGAUUUCUCCCAAGUCACUUGCACUUAACUCGACACAGUGGAGGAAAACUCCAAAUCUCAGUGCCUCUCUUUUGGCAUCACAUUAAGGCCUAAUUAUGCGAGGCAAAGAUUAAUCUCUUAACUUUCAGGCAAAGGCAUUUGAAUUGAACAAUUUCUACAGCCAAUAUAACAAGUCUCAAAAACUCAACCACAGUCAGGCUCAGGUUAUUAUUCAGGUAUAAUAAUUGAUAAUGAAACAGCGGACGCAUCUAUCUUGAUCUUGAGAGAGAGAGAGAGAGAGAGAGAGUCAUGCCUUCUUCUUCUGCUUUCUACCACAAGACUUCACAGGCUUAAACGAGUGAGGCGGGGCUUUGCCCUUCUUAGGAGCCUAUGAGUUAUGACAAAUGAAAAACGAAUUUCAGAGAAAUGCAACGAAGAAGACAUAUAGGGAGUCUGAUGAUGAUGACUGGAAUAUGUACAGCAACUCAGAGUUUCCAGACCUGCUAAACAUCAUGAUGGAAAAAACCAUAUGAUUUCAAAGGUUUAUCUGUCUCUGAGCAAGCAGGAGCUAUGCAUCCACAGACAGAAUUUAACGAGAUAGCAAGAUGAACGAACGUCAAAAUCACCUUAGAACCACCAUGAUUCUGGGGGGACUAAAGGAUUCUCACUUCCUAAAUUGUCAACAUUAAGUACAUCCAAUUAAGAAUUCCCUCUGUAGGACAGGAACACGUAAUCUUUGGGAACCCAAAAGAAAAAUUAAGAAAGAAAAAUAAUCAGUCUCAAGGAACAAUUUCUGCAGCAAUGUAAUAGGCCUCAAAAACUCAACCAGAGUCAGCUCAGGUAUAACAAUUAAUAAUGAAAUGGCAGCCGCAUCUAUAUCAAUCUUGAACUUCUUCUGAAUGCCUAGACUCUCAACUACCACACCACUACUGUACAACUAAUAUUAAGGAAUAGCUGGGCGACAAGACUGGACUCGAUUACUAAACUAAGAUAGUAGGAAAAUCAAUGAGAAAUAAGUACACAGAUAUUCUAUUAUAAUUGACAGGGCCUUCUUUAAUAUCACUGGAAACGGUUGCAAUCCCCAAACGUUUCCUAAAACCAUGUGCUGUUAAGGGCAUGGUGCUAAAAUUGUCUACCAUUAGUGUUCUGACUAAGAAGAUAAAGCUAACAAUGUUAGAGGCAAUAGGAAAUUAGGGAAUUCAUACCUACCAUAUAUAAAAUUGUCAAGGAAGUCCAUCAGGAAUGUCACCAAAUCUUUAACUCUGAUCUGCCAUUUUCAUUUCUAGUUUAUCAUGAGGGUCAUAUCCAAUGAGUUUGAAAUCAGCUGCUACAAAAGAGCCUAUAUCCUUCCUCUCUGGGUUUAUCUUUAAAAUCUGUACAUGUGAACAAGAGUUUAGCAAGUACAAGAGAAGAUAAGCUGAGUCAGAACAAUGAAAUGAAAGAGAAGGGACCAUCCUGCAAUUUUACUGCAGAUUACUCACAGUAAAGGGCUUGACGUGCUUUCUGAAGGUGUUCCUGCACAGGUUUAACAUGGGUACAAUAAACAUGAGCAUCCCCAAUACCGUGCACAAAAUCACCGGGAGAAAGAUCUGCAGAAGAAAAACUUGAAAUAAGCGCUUGUUCCCAUGUUUAUAUCCUCCUAUCAAUGGGAUACUUUUCGCCCCUUAGGCUGGGGAAUCAAAGGUAGGAAUCAUCUAGCAACCACUAGUGUAAACUAUUAUAGCAGUAAUCCUUGUGAUGCAUUUUUUAUAGAAGCAUAAAUCCUUUCCGACCAGUAUUCUAUAAGAAGCAUAAGAAAGGCAUCUGUGAGUCACUUUUCUCCUCACAACAGCAAUUACAGUAUUCCAAAACUCUCUUAAUUAAUACUAGUCAAUAGCCAUUACAAACGAUAAGGAUAAGUAACAUACCACAAAUAUUGGGACAUUUUUUUCUAAAGCAUAUAUACAUACCACAAACAUGAGCAAUCGUGCAUGUAAGGAGAGCAUCAGCAGCGAUGCUGAAUGGCACCACCAAUCCCAUGUCAGCAGAACACCGAUACAUUUGAGACGACAACUUCCCAUUUGCAACAAAAAAUGGCAAAGGUAAAAUUAGGUUAACCAAAGAGAGAGGAAAGAAAACAGAGAGAAUUUUGGGAAAAUGAAGCAAAACAUAUCUAAACUGCGCAAACAUGUGCCAAGGUGGAAGUGCCAGAAUCGGAAGGAUUCCAAGCAGAGAGCAUAAUUAAACAAUCGACUGGAUUAUUCUCGAUCUAGUAAAUAACAUCCAACAACUGAUCAAAUCCUUGGUCGGUAGGUCAAUGUGCACAUUACUGUUCCCGUGACAUACGACAUAUAUAAUGUCAUUAAACAUAUAUUGCUGCAACAAAUAAAAACAGAUCAAC
rnacentral:lncRNA from 1 species